AUGAAGAGGCUGCUGUGCUCUCUGCUGGGAUUGUUGUGCACCCAGGUUUGCUGGGUGAAAGGGCAGCAAGUGAAGCAGAGUCCUGUGUCCUUGGUUCUGCAGGAGGGAGAGAGUGCAGAGCUGCAGUGCAACUUUUCCAGCUCUGCAAACCAAGUGCAGUGGUUUCACCAAAGCCCUGGGGGACCCCUCAUCAGCCUGUUCUUCAAUUCUUCUGGAAUAAAGCAGAGUAGACUGACAUCCAAGACAAUAACUAGGGAAUCUCAAAGCUCUUCGUACAUUUCCUCCUGCCAGACCACAGACUCAGAAACUUAUUUCUGUGCUGUGUGA